GACGAACGCUGGCGGCGUGCUUAACACAUGCAAGUCGAACGGAAAGACCCUGCUUUUGUGGGGUGCUCGAGUGGCGAACGGGUGAGUAACACGUGAGUAACCUGCCCUUGACUUUGGGAUAACUUCAGGAAACUGGGGCUAAUACCGGAUAGGAGCUCCUGCUGCAUGGUGGGGGUUGGAAAGUUUCGGCGGUUGGGGAUGGACUCGCGGCUUAUCAGCUUGUUGGUGGGGUAGUGGCUUACCAAGGCUUUGACGGGUAGCCGGCCUGGGAGGGUGACCGCCCACAUGCGGACUGGGGCACGGCCCAGACUCGUAGGGGGGGCAGCAGUGGAGAAUAUGGCGCACUGGGGGGAAGCCUGAUGAAGCAACGCCGCGUGCGGGAUGGCGUCCCUCGGGUGGUAAACCGCUUUCGCCUGUGACGAAGCGUGAGUGAGGGUAAUGGGAAAAGAAGCACCGGAUAACUAGGUGCCGGCGGCCGCGGUAAUGAUGAAGAACACACGUCUGACC
rnacentral:rRNA from 1 species